rnacentral:rRNA from 1 species
ACAAUGACUCUCGGCAACGGAUAUCUCGGCUCUUGCAUCGAUGAAGAACGUAGCGAAAUGCGAUACUUGGUGUGAAUUGCAGAAUCCCGUGAACCAUCGAGUCUUUGAACGCAAGUUGCGCCCGAAGCCAUUAGGCUGAGGGCACGCCUGCCUGGGUGUCACAC